rnacentral:rRNA from 1 species
UACGGAGGGUGCGAGCGUUGUUCGGAAUCACUGGGCGUAAAGCGCGUGUAGGCGGCCCAUUAAGUCUGAUGUGAAAGCCCGGGGCUCACCCCCGGAAGUGCAUUGGAAACUGAUGGACUCGAGUCCCGGAGAGGAGAGUGGAAUUCCUGGUGUAGCGGUGAAAUGCGUAGAGAUCGGGGGGAACACCCGUGGCGAAGGCGGCCAGCUGGGCCGUCCCUGACGCUGAGGCGCGAAGGCGUGGGGAGCGAACGGG